UACGUAGGGUGCAAGCGUUGUCCGGAAUUAUUGGGCGUAAAGAGCUCGUAGGCGGUCUGUCGCGUCGGCUGUGAAAACCCGGAGCUCAACUCCGGGCCUGCAGUCGAUACGGGCAGACUGGAGUUCGGCAGGGGAGACUGGAAUUCCUGGUGUAGCGGUGAAAUGCGCAGAUAUCAGGAGGAACACCGGUGGCGAAGGCGGGUCUCUGGGCCGAUACUGACGCUGAGGAGCGAAAGCGUGGGGAGCGAACCGG
rnacentral:rRNA from 1 species